CCACACAUUGGGUUUGUUUGAAGCUCCAUCUUGUUCAUAGGUUUUUCCCUUUAGAUGUAUGCUUUCUUAUCUUUAUUAACUUAAAAUUUUAUAGAAUUUGGUUUCCCCUGUCUUAGGGACGAACAUCAUUAGAUAAUUUGAUUAACUUUUGCAGGACCAAGAAGUAGAAAUGCAGAGUAGUAGACUUACCUACAGUGAUCUAUGCCUUCAGAUACCUGAUUCUAAGUUCAGGCAGUGUUUGUUGGGAACACUAGCUGUCUUAUUCAGGUUGAUGUGUUCCUAUCAUGAGAUCAUGAUCUUUCAGCUGGAAAACAAGGAUUGGGCAUACCAAACAUCAAAUAUGAAGCCGAGGGAAACUGGCAACUCUGAACGAUCUGGAGAGGCCCAGCAAAUUGAUUCAGCUACUGGAAUUUCUUCUGAUCCUCAAGAAAUUAAUGGCUCUAUCUCUAAAUCUGUGGACAGCAUGCUGACAGAAGAACCUAUUACCACUGUGUCUAAGGCAGACCAUAUGGGAACUACAAAUUCCAUUUAUUCAGAUUCUCAUUAUCGAGUUGAUGAAGCUAGGAGUGACAGCACUGGAGCAUCAAGCAGCGGAUCCCCUUGGUAUCAUCUGCGGAAAGAUGCUACUGCUUUUGUCUCACAAACUCUUCAGAGAGGUCGGAAGAAUCUUUGGCAGCUUACAACAAGUCGAGUAUCAGUAUUACUUUCUUCUUCUGCAGUUGGUUCAAUAAGCAUUCACCAAUUCUUGAAAAAUUAUGAAGAUCUGAAUUUAUUCAUCUUGGCUGGUGAAGCCUUCUGUGGUGUUGAAGCAGUUGAGUUUAGGCAGAAGUUGAAGGUUGUUUGUGAGAAUUAUUUUGUAGCAUUCCAUCGGCAAAAUAUUUAUGCACUUAAAAUGGUUUUGGAAAAGGAGAAUUGGCUGAAAUUACAAUCAGAUACAGUACAAGCAAUCAGUUUUGAUGGGCUUGUUGGGGAUGGGGCACCCUUGAUCGGUGGUAACUCCAUUAAUGUCAGACUGCAUCAUUCUCAUAAACCAUUGAAUUUGGUUGAUCCUACUGCUAAGAAGGAUGGUUUUACAAGUUGGCUUAGAAAUGGAAACCCAUUUUCGCUAAAACUAUUGCACACUUCCAAAGAAGGCCAUAGUUCAUCCCUAAUUAAUGGAGCAACUUCAAAUGAAUACGAUGGACAUACUAAUGAUAGUUAUCAUGCUGAUUUUAUGUCCCCCAAAAGUAGUGAUGCCAAUCAUUCGAAUGGAACUCCUGUUUCAGAAGAUGAGAAUGAAGAUCUACUUGCAGACUUCAUUGAUGAGGAUAGUCAACUCCCAAGUCGAAUUUCAAAGCUAAAUCAUUCGAGAAGUAAAUUUGCACAUUGGAAAAAUGAUGAGAUAACUGCACAAACGGGAUCAUCUAUAUGUCUUCUAAGGUCAAUGGAUAAAUAUGCAAGGCUCAUGCAGAAACUAGAAAUAGUGAAUGUUGAGUUUUUUAAGGGGAUAUGCCAGUUGUUUGAGGUUUUUUUCUACUUUAUAUUUGAAACAUUUGGUCAGCAAAAUUCCAACUCAAAUGGAAAAGGUUUAUCUGAUUCUGUCAAUUAUCGACUGAAGAUAGCCUUAUCCAGAGUAUCACAGGAUUGUGACCAAUGGAUAAAAUCCCAGUCAACAAUAUCUACUUCUUCACCCACAUCUUUAAGUACAUAUAUGCAUGCAGAUUUAACACCAACUAAUCCUCAGAAUCAUUCACCAGCCACAUCUUUUGGUCUCAAGGAAAGAUGUGCAGCGGCCGAUAAUAUCUCUCUCGUUGCUCGUAUAUUACACAGAUCCAAAACCCAUCUUCAGUCAAUGCUUCUUCAAAAUAAUCCUGCUAUCGUGGAGGAUUUCUAUGCAACCUUGGUGGAUUCUGUACCAGAUCUUACAGAGCAUAUACAUAGGACAACUGCAAGACUACUUUUACAUAUUAAUGGUUAUGUUGACCGAAUUGCUAAUGCUAAAUGGGAAGUAAAAGAGCUUGGACUAGAGCAUAAUGGGUUUGUUUCAGUGCUUCUAUUUUCCUUUUAUUAUUAUUAUUGUUAAAUUUAUGAUUUCUAUUUUAGCUUUGAUCUUGCAAAGAUUCCAAUGUUUGCCGAUAGAUGAUUUCACAUAUCAAAGAUGUGUAUUUUUGACUUUUUGUAGAAUGCGCGAUAGAAUUCAGUUAUUGGAUAAUAUUGUUUUAUAGGUCAUCUGUCAUCAUGCUGUUAGUGCAUGUAUCCUUUGCCAUGAUUCUGUGGUUUCAUCGAAGACGUCCAUGUUGAACUAAACUCAGUGCCUCAAUCUGGGCCCAACAAUUUGAGUGUUUUCUCUAUUUUGGCCGAGUUUAAUUUACUUGGGGCCAAGUUUUCAUUACAUGAUUGUGGAUGAGACUUUUUCUGAUGGCAUUAGUCGCUGCCCUUUUUCUGCCUUGUUCUUUGCAACAAAAAGUUUGAACUGUAUCUAUUUACUCUUUUGGCUUUAUGUUAGUCACUAUAUUAAUGAAAUAACUUUUCAUGUCUGUUAGCUUUUGAUAUUUUAUAUCUUUUGAACUAGUUCUCUUAUAUUCUUCCCAUCUUCCUAGCAAGCUGCAAGCAAGUUAGCAAAUUAAUUAACUAUUCAUGUAAAUUUGCUACUGCCAAUUGACAAGUUCUCUGACGUAUAUUUUUAGGUACGUUGAUUUGUUGUUGGGAGAAUUUAAGCACUAUAAAACGAGGCUUGCUCAUGGAGGAAUCCACAAGG
rnacentral:misc_RNA from 1 species